UUAGCGGUAGCUCAGUGGAUAAAAUGUUGGCUUACUGACCGGAAGGUUGUGAGUUCAAAUCCCAGCUCUGCUAAG